UACAGAGGUGCAAGCGUUGUUCGGAAUUAUUGGGCGUAAAGCGCGUGUAGGCGGCUUUGCAAGUCGGGUGUGAAAGCCCUCGGCUCAACCGAGGAAGUGCGCCCGAAACUGCAGAGCUUGAGUACCGGAGAGGAUGGCGGAAUUCCCAAGUAGAGGUGAAAUUCGUAGAUAUGGGGAGGAACACCGGUGGCGAAGGCGGCCAUCUGGACGAGUACUGACACUGAGACGCGGAAAGCAAUGGGGA
rnacentral:rRNA from 1 species